ACCGCCCUGACGGACACGGGCGCCACGGCGCAUGCGCAGAUACAUAACGUCCAUGCAGACAGGAGAGCUGGAGUUUAAAAAAAACUUUAUCAACUGUUUACUCACGUUAUUGAAGCACGCGCUCAUCGUGGGAGGGGGGUCAGACAGUCAUGUUGAGUCCUGAGUUUUCUGUUUCAAUGGCGAUGCUGCGGGCUUGAAUAACUUUUCAGUCAAAGAACCAGCUGGACAGCUUCCUGUGGCUUCUGCAAACAGACACACACGGUGAACAGCAGGGGGCGCCAUCCACCAAGGAGAGGGCAAAGAGCGAGCCGGAAGAUGGGAAGUUUUUGUGAAUUGGUUUCCUUCCUGGUUUCCAUUCAGUGAUCAUCAUCUUAAACUGGUGCACAGGUGAGGUGGAGUCACUGGCUGUGUCCCCAUUCAGGGUCUGCAGCCUUUUUUUUUUUUUUUUUCUUUUUUUUUUUUUUUAUUUAGACAAUUGAACAACAAACAUACAUAGUAAUGUAGAAUAUAGAAAGGGUAUGACAAAUCCCACAGCUUGCAGUAUCUUGAACAAGUUAUGUAUACAAAUACAAGUACGUAAACAAAAACGCAUACUUUAGGAGAAAACAGAUAAACAAAAUAACUGAAAGAAAAAACAAGGUGCUCAAGGUAUAAAUAAACAACAUAUAAGUCAAGUGAAACUAUACAUUCGACACAGCUCUUGUGUUUUACAUGCUUUGGAGUUAGUACUGUUCUUAAGAGUUAAUUGGAAAACAGGGCUUUAAAAGCAAAUAUGUUUGGACGCUGUUGAGAAAAUUUUGUACAAUGUAUGUGAAAUUUGGCAAAAAUAAUCAGAAGAUUAAUAAUAUA